AACGUAGGAGACAAACGUUAUCCGGAGUUACUGGGCGUAAAGGGCGUGUAGGCGGUCUGUUAAGUCUGGCGUGAAAGCUCUCGGCUAAACCGGGAGAGGUCGUUGGAUACUGGCAGACUAGAGGACGGUAGAGGCGUGUGGAAUUCCGGGUGUAGUGGUGAAAUGCGUAGAGAUCCGGAGGAACACCAGUGGCGAAGGCGACACGCUGGGCCGUACCCGACGCUAAAGCGCGACAGCAUGGGGAACAAACGGG
rnacentral:rRNA from 1 species